rnacentral:rRNA from 1 species
UACGUAGGUGGCAAGCGUUGUCCGGAAUUAUUGGGCGUAAAGCGCGCGCAGGCGGUUCCUUAAGUCUGAUGUGAAAGCCCACGGCUCAACCGUGGAGGGUCAUUGGAAACUGGGGAACUUGAGUGCAGGAGAGAAGAGUGGAAUUCCACGUGUAGCGGUGAAAUGCGUAGAGAUGUGGAGGAACACCAGUGGCGAAGGCGACUCUGUGGCCUGUAACUGACGCUGAGGCGCGAAAGCGUGGGGAGCAAACAGG